UACGGGGGGGGCAAGCGUUGUUCGGAAUUACUGGGCGUAAAGGGCUCGUAGGUGGCCAACUAAGUCAGACGUGAAAUCCCCAGGCUCAACUUGGGAACUGCGUCUGAUACUGGAUGGCUUGAAUUCGGGAGAGGGAUGCAGAAUUCCAGGUGUAGCGGUGAAAUGCGUAGAUAUCUGGAGGAAUACCGGUGGCGAAGGCGGCAUCCUGGACCGAUAUUGACGCUGAGGCGCGAAAGCUAGGGGAGCAAACGGG
rnacentral:rRNA from 1 species